rnacentral:rRNA from 1 species
CCUACGGGAGGCAGCAGUGGGGAAUAUUGGACAAUGGGCGAAAGCCUGAUCCAGCAAUGCCGCGUGAGUGAUGAAGGCCUUAGGGUUGUAAAGCUCUUUUACCAGGGAUGAUAAUGACAGUACCUGGAGAAUAAGCUCCGGCUAACUCCGUGCCAGCAGCCGCGGUAAUACGGAGGGAGCUAGCGUUGUUCGGAAUUACUGGGCGUAAAGCGUACGUAGGCGGUUAUUCAAGUCAGAGGUGAAAGCCCGGGGCUCAACCCCGGAACUGCCUUUGAAACUAGGUAGCUAGAGUCUUGGAGAGGUUAGUGGAAUUCCGAGUGUAGAGGUGAAAUUCGUAGAUAUUCGGAAGAACACCAGUGGCGAAGGCGACUAACUGGACAAGUACUGACGCUGAGGUACGAAAGCGUGGGGAGCAAACAGGAUUAGAUACCCUGGUAGUCCACGCCGUAAACGAUGAUAACUAGCUGUUCGGGCACUUGGUGCCUGAGUGGCGCAGCUAACGCAUUAAGUUAUCCGCCUGGGGAGUACGGUCGCAAGAUUAAAACUUAAAGUAGUAGUAGACGNGUGAGAGUUCGACGACGACGACGACGGAGGAGGAG